ACAGCAGCCGCCGCGGUAAUACGUAGGGUGCAAGCGUUAAUCGGAAUUACUGGGCGUAAAGCGUGCGCAGGCGGUUAUAUAAGACAGAUGUGAAAUCCCCGGGCUCAACCUGGGAACUGCAUUUGUGACUGUAUAGCUAGAGUACGGCAGAGGGGGAUGGAAUUCCGCGUGUAGCAGUGAAAUGCGUAGAUAUGCGGAGGAACACCGAUGGCGAAGGCAAUCCCCUGGGCCUGUACUGACGCUCAUGCACGAAAGCGUGGGGAGCAAACAGGAUUAGAUACCCGGGUAGUCCCUGUCUCUUAUAC
rnacentral:rRNA from 1 species